UGGGGAAUCUUAGACAAUGGGCGCAAGCCUGAUCUAGCCAUGCCGCGUGAGUGAUGAAGGCCUUAGGGUCGUAAAGCUCUUUCGCCUGUGAUGAUAAUGACAGUAGCAGGUAAAGAAACCCCGGCUAACUCCGUGCCAGCAGCCGCGGUAAUACGGAGGGGGUUAGCGUUGUUCGGAAUUACUGGGCGUAAAGCGCACGUAGGCGGAUUGGAAAGUUGGGGGUGAAAUCCCGGGGCUCAACCCCGGAACUGCCUCCAAAACUAUCAGUCUAGAGUUCGAGAGAGGUGAGUGGAAUUCCAAGUGUAGAGGUGAAAUUCGUAGAUAUUUGGAGGAACACCAGUGGCGAAGGCGGCUCACUGGCUCGAUACUGACGCUGAGGUGCGAAAGUGUGGGGAGCAAACAGAUAGAAC
rnacentral:rRNA from 1 species